GGGUUGUGAGGUUAAGUGACUAAGCGUACACGGUGGAUGCCUAGGCAGUCAGAGGCGAUGAAGGACGUGCUAAUCUGCGAUAAGCGUCGGUGAGCUGAUAUGAAGCAUUAUUAGCCGGCGAUGUCCGAAUGGGGAAACCCAGUGCAAUCCGUUGCACUAUCGUUAAGUGAAUACAUAGCUUAACGAGGCGAACCAGGGGAACUGAAACAUCUAAGUACCCUGAGGAAAAGAAAUCAACCGAGAUUCCCCUAGUAGCGGCGAGCGAACGGGGAAGAGCCCAGAACCUGAAUCAGUUUGUGCAUUAGUGGAAGCGUCUGGAAAGUCGCGCGAUACCGGGUGAUAGCCCCGUACACGAAGGUGCACAGCUGUGAGUUCGAUGAGUAGGGCGGGACACGUGUUAUCCUGUCUGAAUAUGGGGGGACCAUCCUCCAAGGCUAAAUACUCCUGACUGACCGAUAGUGAACCAGUACCGUGAGGGAAAGGCGAAAAGAACCCCGGCGAGGGGAGUGAAAUAGAACCUGAAACCGUGUACGUACAAGCAGUGGGAGCAUCCUUCGGGGUGUGACUGCGUACCUUUUGUAUAAUGGGUCAGCGACUUAUAUUUGUAGCAAGGUUAACCGAAUAGGGGAGCCGUAGGGAAACCGAGUCUUAACUGGGCGUCUAGUUGCAAGGUAUAGACCCGAAACCCGGUGAUCUAGCCAUGGGCAGGUUGAAGGUUGGGUAACACUAACUGGAGGACCGAACCGACUAAUGUUGAAAAAUUAGCGGAUGACUUGUGGCUGGGGGUGAAAGGCCAAUCAAACCGGGAGAUAGCUGGUUCUCCCCGAAAGCUAUUUAGGUAGCGCCUCGUGAACUCAUCUUCGGGGUAGAGCACUGUUUCGGCUAGGGGGUCAUCCCGACUUACCAACCCGAUGCAAACUACGAAUACCGAAGAAUGUUAUCACGGGAGACACACGGCGGGUGCUAACGUCCGUCGUGAAGAGGGAAACAACCCAGACCGCCAGCUAAGGUCCCAAAGUCAUGGUUAAGUGGGAAACGAUGUGGGAAGGCACAGACAGCCAGGAUGUUGGCUUAGAAGCAGCCAUCAUUUAAAGAAAGCGUAAUAGCUCACUGGUCGAGUCGGCCUGCGCGGAAGAUGUAACGGGGCUAAACCAUGCACCGAAGCUGCGGCAGCGACACUAAGUGUUGUUGGGUAGGGGAGCGUUCUGUAAGCCUGUGAAGGUGGCCUGUGAGGGCUGCUGGAGGUAUCAGAAGUGCGAAUGCUGACAUAAGUAACGAUAAAGCGGGUGAAAAGCCCGCUCGCCGGAAGACCAAGGGUUCCUGUCCAACGUUAAUCGGGGCAGGGUAAGUCGACCCCUAAGGCGAGGCCGAAAGGCGUAGUCGAUGGGAAACAGGUUAAUAUUCCUGUACUUGGUGUUAUUGCGAAGGGGGACGGAGAAGGCUAGACCGGCCGGGCGACGGUUGUCCCGGUUUAAGCGUGUAGGUGUGAUGACCUGGCAAAUCCGGUUAUCUUUAACACUGAGGCGUGAUGACGAGGCACUACGGUGCUGAAGUGGUUGAUGCCCUGCUUCCAGGAAAAGCCUCUAAGCUCUAGAUAACACUGAAUCGUACCCCAAACCGACACAGGUGGUCAGGUAGAGAAUACCAAGGCGCUUGAGAGAACUCGGGUGAAGGAACUAGGCAAAAUGGUGCCGUAACUUCGGGAGAAGGCACGCUGGCAUGUAGGUGAAGUCCCUCGCGGAUGGAGCUGAAGCCAGUCGAAGAUACCAGCUGGCUGCAACUGUUUAAUAAAAACACAGCACUCUGCAAACACGAAAGUGGACGUAUAGGGUGUGACGCCUGCCCGGUGCUGGAAGGUUAAUUGAUGGGGUCAGCCGCAAGGCGAAGCUCUUGAUCGAAGCCCCAGUAAACGGCGGCCGUAACUAUAACGGUCCUAAGGUAGCGAAAUUCCUUGUCGGGUAAGUUCCGACCUGCACGAAUGGCGUAAUGAUGGCCAGGCUGUCUCCACCCGAGACUCAGUGAAAUUGAACUCGCUGUGAAGAUGCAGUGUACCCGCGGCAAGACGGAAAGACCCCGUGAACCUUUACUAUAGCUUGACACUGAACAUUGAACCUUGAUGUGUAGGAUAGGUGGGAGGCUUUGAAGUGUGGACGCCAGUCUGCAUGGAGCCGACCUUGAAAUACCACCCUUUAAUGUUUGAUGUUCUAACCUGGUCCCGUAAUCCGGGAUAGGGACAGUGUCUGGUGGGUAGUUUGACUGGGGCGGUCUCCUCCCAAAGAGUAACGGAGGAGCACGAAGGUUAGCUAAUCCUGGUCGGACAUCAGGAGGUUAGUGCAAAGGCAUAAGCUAGCUUGACUGCGAGAGUGACGGCUCGAGCAGGUGCGAAAGCAGGUCUUAGUGAUCCGGUGGUUCUGAAUGGAAGGGCCAUCGCUCAACGGAUAAAAGGUACUCCGGGGAUAACAGGCUGAUACCGCCCAAGAGUUCAUAUCGACGGCGGUGUUUGGCACCUCGAUGUCGGCUCAUCACAUCCUGGGGCUGAAGUAGGUCCCAAGGGUAUGGCUGUUCGCCAUUUAAAGUGGUACGCGAGCUGGGUUUAGAACGUCGUGAGACAGUUCGGUCCCUAUCUGCCGUGGGCGUUGGAAGAUUGAGAGGGGCUGCUCCUAGUACGAGAGGACCGGAGUGGACGCACCGCUGGUGUUCGGGUUGUGAUGCCAAUUGCAUUGCCCGGUAGCUACGUGCGGAAGAGAUAAGCGCUGAAAGCAUCUAAGCGCGAAACUUGCCUCGAGAUGAGUCUUCCCUUGGACCUUGAGUCCACUGAAGGAACGUUUAAGACUAAGACGUUGAUAGGCUGGGUGUGUAAGCGUAGCGAUACGUUGAGCUAACCAGUACUAAUGAUCCGUGAGGCUUAACCUUACAACACCGAAGGUGUUU
rnacentral:rRNA from 1 species